ACAAACAUCAACCUUUCAUAAAUAUUAUUAUAUACUUCAAUUUUCAGCCAACAUUUCAUUUGGAUCGAUCGUAGAAGAAUAUAUAAAUAUUAUAAAAUAUGGUAUGCUGGCAGAUUAGAAUUAUGGGUUGCGUUUUCUUAAUGUUGGUUCUAUGUGGUAGAAGUGAGACACGGGUUCUGAACCGAACAAUGGUAAGUGCUCACAUGUUAAGAAUAGGAACCUCAAAUUUGAAUUGGAAUUCGAUACAGCCAAUUUCAGAAGAAGUUGGAAAACGUGACGAGCAAAGAUUGAGUCCUGGUGGACCUGACGCACAUCAUCAUUAGUCGCUUUUUUUUUAUUACAACUAUACUAUAUACUAUAUACUAUAUACUAUAUACUAUAUACUAUAUUCAUAGACCUAUGUAUUGACAUUGUCAAUGUCUUGUUCAAAUUAAUAAUUGGUUUAUGAUGCCUGUACAAAAUUUCAAAAUUUUGUAUAAUAAAUGCUUUCGUAUAGCAAUUCGAUUUAGUUUUUCAAAACCUAUUUAAAAAUAGGUAUGGUUCAUGUCCGGGCAAUUAAUAAACUAUAUUUAGCAGCCGU
rnacentral:lncRNA from 1 species